ACUCUUUGAAUAUUUACUAUUUUUUGAGAAGUGCCAUCAUUAUGAAACUCAAUAGUGAACAAGAAGAAAACAUUCCCCAUCGAAUGCAACUUGUUGUAGCAAAAUCGAUUCAGGUUUAGUACUAGAAAAAUUGGCUAAUGUUUCAAUGUGCACACACAUACGCACACACACACACACGGACACACACACGGACAGACAGACAUUUGCUCAGUUUGUCGAGCUGAAUCGAAUGGUAUAUAAUACUAUGCACGCUUAGCCUAGUUCACCCAUAAAUACGUAACCUGUUCACUCAAAUAUGGGUAAAUGAAACAUUACUGAUAUUAUCAGUAAAAUUUACUAAUAAAAUCUGUAAAUUUCACUCAUAUUAUUGGUAAGUCUGCCUUUACUCAUAUUUGGGUGAUCUAGCUUACCCAUUUUUGGAUGAAAAAAAAAUCUUGUCAACAACUUCACAACAAACAUGGAGAUUCGAAAAAUUCUUCUGCUAUUUUUAUCGUCGCCGUUAAAUUAUUCAUAAAUUGUGCAUUCCCAAGGCGUAGCAUGGUUGCAAAUAAUAAUUUCGAUUUCGCUUUUGCUUGGAGAAUCGGUGGCAGUCACCAGUUCGAUUAGUUACGAUGCAGGCAAUGAACAUGCGCUUUCUGGGGCAACGUAAUCAUCUUCAUGAUCAAGCGUAGCUGAAACUUUAGAAAUCAUUCCUUACGAAUACGCCUGUGGAAAUUAAAGGACAACAAUUCCAUGUCGGAGAUUGCCACUCAGCUACAUAGCCCGAAAGAUGGUCAAGAAUGUUAUGCUCGUCGGUACGUUGGUGGAAUUUCGUUCGGAACGUUCGGGACUGAAAAUGAUUCCUCAACUACAAAGGGGCUCGGGAGGCGGCAUUAGCGCUUUAUAAUGUUGUUAUAUGAUCUGCCAUAUGAUCUAAGCGAUAUCCGCACCAAUGUGCUGGAUUUUGUUGGAUUUAUCCGAAUCCAGAUUACCGAGUGUCUCCAAUCAGCCAGACCAGCAGAAGGACGGCUGCAGUUUGCGAGGCCAAAUCAAACAAACAAUCGAUACUAUUUGGCACCAGAAACUCCAAUUCACUCGUGAUAUUCUGGUUUGUGGUCUUCCGGGAAUUGAUCCCAACAUAGAGAUCUGCGGAGUAUUCCAGGUGCUUCCGGAGGGGAUCCACAGAAGCCUAUAAUUCUAGCUCGGUGAACUUUCACGCUGAUUCGCAUUGAUCUGAAGAAUGAUGCAUUGCUCUGAAGAAGUAAUGAUCAUAAAUAACAGA